rnacentral:rRNA from 1 species
UUUACAAUGGAGAGUUUGAUCCUGGCUCAGGAUGAACGCUAGCUACAGGCUUAACACAUGCAAGUCGAGGGGAAACGACAUCGAAAGCUUGCUUUUGAUGGGCGUCGACCGGCGCACGGGUGAGUAACGCGUAUCCAACCUGCCCAUCACUUGGGGAUAACCUUGCGAAAGUAAGACUAAUACCCAAUGAUAUCUCUAGAAGGCAUCUGAAAGAGAUUAAAGAUUUAUCGGUGAUGGAUGGGGAUGCGUCUGAUUAGCUUGU